UUUGAAUCUUUUAGCCUUACAAUUUCUUUG
rnacentral:piRNA from 1 species